AGGCAGCGGUCAAGCAGCAGUAAGUUGCUGUGUCAGCAGAGGGAUAAUAACUACUGUCAGCAGCAAGGUCCCGACUGAAGUGGCAGCUGCAGUUGUUCCUGUGGUGUGGGCCAGUGGAAUUCCAAGAAAAUGGACAAGAGCAGAACCUGUAAGAAUUACCCCUAAGCCAGAGUCUCUCCUGGCAGAAGAGCCCCGGCCUGAGCUGGCUGAGUGUUGGUGUGACCCACAGUGGGUGUCCCCUGCCCUCGGGACAGUCCCCAGAGCUCCCUUUGGAUCCCCUGGUGAAGGGUGGGAGCUGCCCAGAGCCAGCAGCAUCCAGCUGGAGGAUCCAGGAGGAUGCAGCCCUGCUUUGCUGGGAGGGAAUAACUCCUGUCAGCAGCAAGGUCCUGACUGAAGUGGCAG